rnacentral:rRNA from 1 species
AACGAACGCUGGCGGCAUGCCUAACACAUGCAAGUCGAACGGGAUCCUGGCUUCGGUCAGGUGAGAGUGGCGGACGGGUGAGUAACGCGUGGGAACCUGCCCAGUGGUGGGGGAUAACUGCGGGAAACUGCAGCUAAUACCGCAUGAGCCCGAGAGGGGAAAGAUUUAUCGCCAUUGGAGGGGCCCGCGUUCGAUUAGGUAGUUGGUGAGGUAACGGCUCACCAAGCCGACGAUCGAUAGCUGGUCUGAGAGGAUGAUCAGCCACACUGGGACUGAGAUACGGCCCAGACUCCUACGGGAGGCAGCAGUGGGGAAUAUUGGACAAUGGGGGCAACCCGUGAUCCAGCAAUGCCGCGUGAGUGAUGAAGGCCUUCGGUUGUAAAG